rnacentral:rRNA from 1 species
GGUCACAGCCAUAUCACCCUGCAGCCCAAGACCGGUUACUCACUGAAGCUAAGCAGGGCUAAGCCUGGCCAGUACCUGGAAGGGACAUCACAUUGGAAAACUAGGCUGAUGUUGGAA